CCUGCAUUUGUUAUGUUGGCAUUUUAAAAGCAUUUGCUAUUUUACCAUCUCAACAACAAGAAGAAAACAAAAAAAUUGCUUUUUUAUGUGUUCUUCCCGGUUGGAGAAUGAUUAAAACAUAAUAAAGAAUUUCUCCAUACUUUUCACACCCAAAUAAAACCUUAAAAGGACAGCCCGGUGCAUUAAGCUCCUGUUGUGCGCAACGUAAGGGGAAGGGCCGGAGUUACCCUACAUUUCUGCAAGAAGCUGUUUCCAUGGCUCGAACCUGUGACCUCCUGGACACAUGGCAACAACUUUACCAGUUUCCCAAUAAAAACUUAACUUAUCCCCCCCCCCCAAAAAAAAAAGAUUACAUAGAAUCUUGUAUAUCUUGGAUAAAAAAAGAUUCUUGGUUUCUUAUAAAAACAUACAUUUCCCGGUUUCACAUCUUAAGAUUUAAGAAGCACAGAAAAGACUUGAUAUGAAGUAUUCUUCAUGUGAACUAAACAUAUUGGAUAAAAAAAUAUUUUUGGUUUCUCAUAAAAACAUACAUUUUCGAUUUCACAUCUUAAGAUUUAAGAAGCACAGAAAAAACUUGAUAUGAAGUAUUCUUCAUGUGAACUAAACAUAUAUUUGUAUCUUAAAAUUCAUGUUAACUUUCUUAUAAAAUGAAUGAAAAAUCUCCAAUAAUAGCCUAAUUUUGAUCAGUGCUCACUCUUUAGUUUCCUUUUUAGAAUAAGCUUCAUAUUUCAGUUAGUCGGCAUAAGCACUUAAUGUAAUAAAUUUGGGGCUGUUUUUCCUAUAAUCAGUGUUCACUCUUUAGUUUCCUUUUUAGAAUAAGCUUCAUAUUUCAGUUUGUCGGCAUAAGCACUUUAUGGAAUAAAUUUGGGGCUGUUUUUCCUAUAUAUUUUACCACGGUGCACUAAGUCAUACACUAGACAAGAAUUUUAAUGCAAAAAUUAGUUCAUUUUGGAGUCAAUUUCUGCAAUUAAGGGAUUAGGUUUUGUUUUUUCCUAUCAAUUUUUUUAAAAUAAAUCUUCAAUUGCACCUAAAAAUUUUAACAUGCAGAUAAAACUUAGGUUUUUCGACAUUCAUUAUUGAUUACAAGUAAGCAAACGAUUGAAUAUUUUAAAACCACAAAAAUUACCUGAGAAUUUUUGACGAUCAAGGUCGUCAAGCAACUUUAAGCUAUAUGAGAAAUCUUCUUAAUAUCCUGCAUUACCCAAAACCCCAGACAAAAAAGAAAGUUAACAAAUUAGGAUAAAAAAACCACAGUUUCAGAAAAUUCAAAAACCCAAAAAAAAUAGGUUCUCUCGUUUACAAAGUGAAAAUGAAAAGAGAAAGAUAUACCAGAGAUAAUUGAUUAGAGAGUGAAGAGUGAACAAGGAAGAUGAGUCCUAAAGGAGAUUUUGUUGUGAAGUGAGAGUUAGGAGGACAAUGAGUCAGAGAGAUUCCUGAAUUCGAUAUGUGGAUUUUAACGCAUUUCUCUUUACUUCGUCGGGACA
rnacentral:lncRNA from 1 species